rnacentral:lncRNA from 1 species
GCCUCCACAUAGAACCGCCAAGCCACUGCGCCAACAGUGCAUUCAUAGAACCCAUAACCAAUGUCAUAACACACAAACCUCUAGGGCUCAGCCCCUAGCCUUACGAGCCUCGGCUCGUGAGGAAGCGCACAACAUUUUCGUGUGCGGCUUUGGCUUUCGUUACUAACUUUUUGUAGCCUUUUGCGGGCUCUGUGAGGCUUUACGACUUGGUUCCGACUUGGUUUGGAUGGCUUCGGCCUUGGGUGGGUGCGUCGCGCCCUGUUUUCGGCAUUGCGCGUUCUGUGGCGGCUGGCCGCGUCUGGGUGGCCGGCCGCGCUCGUUCUGCUCUGUGGUCGCUUUUUGGUUUAGUGUGUGCAGGUUACGGUGGCCCUGGUGGUCGCUCGUGGCCCGGCGCAAGCUUCGAUGUUCCGUGGUGCUCCUCGGCGCCUCUCCUCGUGCCGCCUGGCCCGCCGUCGUCUCCACCGGCGGCCUUGCUGGCUCAGCAGAUAGUUAGGUUGCGGGUGCCGUUCGUAGCAUGGCGGUUCAGGGACCGUUAGGCAGCAGAUGACGCUGGUCCCGGGUGUCGGAUGUGAGUGCCCGGGCGGCUGUUGCCCGGGCGCCCGGGCGGCUGGUGCGCCUGUUCGCCUCCGGGCGCGCGCGUGCCUGUUUGGUGGGUCGGUCUAGUUCGCUGGUGGGGCGGGUGGAGGGCGGUGUGCCCGUGGCGAGGUGUUGUGGUGUACUGGUGGUUUGGUCAGUUUCCGGCUCGGUUUCCCUUUGUGGUGCCUCGGCACCGACGUUUCCGGACAUGGGCCUCCGGGCCAAGACAUUGCGCGUCUGUGACGCCGACGAGAAAAUGUGUGGUGCUUGCGUUUGAUGGGGAUGUCGGCAGACCUCUGGCCUGUCGCGCCUUGUUGUGCGUUGGUGCUGCCGCCAAAAGACCUAAACGAGAUGAGGGGUGUUACGUGGCGGUGGGGCUUUGGCGGGCUUCGGCUUGGCUUCGACUCAUGUGCGUAACACUAUGAAGGUCGGCAGCCAACCAGGGGGCGGGUGUUGUUUCUCUGGGUCGCAGAUGGCCCUUCGCGGCGUGGGUACGGCGUGCCCCCGCUUGUCGGGCUGUCCCUUCAAUUGUAAUCCGCAUCCAUAGAUUGCAUUGGUUACAAGAUUCAUAGGAAGUUUUGUUGAGUACGUAAGCAAUCCCGUCAUCCUGGGAUGCGUGACUGCUUACAUAUGCUAUCGAGAUCGAAUACCGCACAGUGACCCAAAGUGGGAUACCUGGGGCGCCCGGCGUCGCGCGUCCAAGCGCGGGCUUGCGGCCUGGCAGCCUGGGCAGCCCCAUCGCCCUAGCGACUGGCUUUGCGGGGGCAUCUCGCCGCGACGGCGGGGCAUCAGGUGAGAAAUCGGCUUGACGGUCGCCCAUCGGGCAGCAUGUACACCCGCGCGCGCCGUUGCGACACACUGCAUCUUCACUCUGCACAGCUCACACGCCUGCCACACUGCUUGCAUCCGCUGUUAUCCGCCAGGCCUGAGGCAUUUCCCACACUCCAAUAGGAUACCGCCCAUCGCCCCUGCACCCCGCGUCCUCAACCCCCUGCCUCACCAGCCCAACGCGUGCGUCUACACAUUUUGCAACGCAACAAUGUUUUCGCAGAUGAUAUCCUCACGCAUGUACGUCUGAUCACAGGAAAGAUCGUUAGUGCUGAAGCCCUCCUCACCACGCAUACGCACACGCUGACACGCACCAACGGCUUGGUUGCCCGUGCCCACGACGCGUUCCGCUGUGGACGCGAACAUGCAGCACACCCAGACUGCCCUCGCGCUGCCGCGCCCGCCACAACAGGGUGUGCAGGCCACAUACACAUCCAGAAAAACUCAUUGAGCCCCGUCGCACCGAACCGGCCUGGCACAGGCACGGUCAACAAUUUGUCAGCACCGCACAUUCCAGGUUACACAAGAGCCCAGGGGCCUACCCAGUACCCACCCUUCGACGCCAAUACCCUCGCACCAUACAGUAGCGCACAAAGUCACCGCUACACACCGGUUCUUACUACCGUAUUGCAGCAUUUAUUAACGUGUUCAGGGGUAAUCCAUGCGGUGUGGAUGUCACAACAUUAGUCGGGCAAACGCAUUUCUGGACCGCUUUUGGCUUAGCAAUCUUAGCUUAGGCGCUGCACUUCGUGACGUCCAUGCCGGGUCCACGCGCAGAUUCGGAGCGCCAGCCAGCGCAUCCCCUUGAUUCCCUGAUGCGCCCGCACGACGGACAUUCCACCGCACACCGCCCUAUGCCACACAAGCACACGCACACAUGCAUUUCCACGGCCCAGACGCUGAGCCGCACCCCACCGUCGCACAGUAGACAACCCCCCCAUUUUUAGAUUCUAGACCGCAGUACAAGCCUGUUCAGCGCCGACACGCCUUCAACCCCUGUGCUCCGCUCGUUUUAGCUUGGUUUGGUUUAGUUUGGGCUGGAAUUUACAACCCUCCUUCCCCCCCCCCGAGCUGGCGCCCUCGCCAGCAGGCCACGGCACCUACGCCAGCAUCGCUCAGCGUGGCGUGGACAUGACGUCGUCACGUGUGAUCACGAUGGGGUGCGAAGCCAGCAGGAUGCGGGCGCGGCGGCGCGGCGGCGGCGUGCCAGGGCGCUGCAGCUGCCCACCACCGCUGCCAUCAGGACCAACGGCGCCCGUUGACCUGAAGCCGUUCACCUGGGCAUCCCACAGGGCAUCCACUACCGCUGCCGUUUUCGGCGCGGCGUAGCCGUCGGCUGCCGCCAGCAACGCCGCGUCGAGCGUCCCCGGCACAGCGGCGCCGCCACUCGGGUGUGGGACCGAUGUAGUUGAGGUAGCGUCCACUGCAGCGUUCGACACUGCGACGGUGGCGGCGGCAACUGCCGCAGGCGUGGUCCCGGGCCCGUUGGCGACUGAUGGCGGCCGGGCGGAGACGCCACCGCCGGCGGACCCGCUCCUGCCGCUUCGUGGCACGGGGGACAGGUCAGGGGAGCCCGGCUUAUUGUCGUGCAAGGCUGACGCGUCUGCCGGCGGCGGCGGAGAGGCGGGCGCAGCGCGUGUGGCGGCGGACAGUGGGAGUGUACUGUCGAUGGACGGCAGCCGGGGGAGCUCCGCCGGAGGUCCCGAGGGCGGCCGGGGCGGCGUUACUGGCUUGGGCUCCAGCACCGGCAAUGGCACUGCUGCCGCUUCAGGUGCCGCUGCAGGCGCAGCCGCCGGCCCGCCACCAGACGACGACCGCCGCAGCACUGCGUCCUCCUCGCUCGCAGAGGCCGCAGCCGGCGCCGAUGCCUCCCCCCGUACAAGGGGUCGUAGGUCCGAGGCGGAGGGCGUGGGACUCCACCAGGCCAGGUCUUCCGAGUUCUCCGUGCCCACCGCCAGCUCAGCCCCCGCCCCAGCCGUUGCGGGCACUGCCGGCGCCGCCUCUGCCGCGGCCGCGGCCGCUGCCAGCGGCGGCAGCACCGAUGGCCCAGCUGCCGCAGCGGCGGCCACGGGCUGCCGCACGGCGCGGACUGCCAGCGGCUGGUCGGCUUCUUGGUCGAAAGACGGGGGGUCGUUGUAGGCGAACGCGGACCGCGGCAGCUCGAAUGACGCCAUGGCGAUGCCGCCCUGGUUAAGUGGCUUGGUGAGCUCAGGCGCUGGUGCGGGCACUUGUGCAGGUGGGGCUGUAGGUGCCGGCGGAGGUGCGGGCUCUCGUGCCGGUGCUGGUGGCGGCACUGGUGCGGGCGCUGGUGCGGACACGGGUGGCGGCGCUGCCGCAGGUGCUCGUGCGGACACCGGUGGGGGCGCUGAUUCCGGUUCCGGAGGCGGCAUCGCAACCCUUUCCGUUUUGACGAUCCCGCGUGGCGGAGCGCCGCUGCUGUUCGACAGCCGGUGCGGUGGCGGCGGCGGCUGUGCAGGCUGGUCCUGCGCCUCCGCUGCGGCGCCGCCGCCACCACCGCUCACGCCCCUGACACCUCCUUCAGCCGCAGCAGUGGCCGUCACCGCCGCCGCCGCUGCUGCAGCAGCAGCUCCGUAGGGCUGGAGGUCCACGGAGGAGGCGAAGCCGCCGCUGAUGCUGCCUCGCCCGGCCGGUCCCGAGUCCGUCAUGGCGAAAGACGCCUCCAUCACACUUGCCCCGUCUACGUCCGCGCUGCUGCUCGCCUCUGCCUCCAAUCGCCCCAACGCCUCCGCAAGCGCGGCACCGGGCACGGCGCCGCCGCUGCUGCCGCCAGCUCCACCUCGGCUGCCAGCACCGCCGUCACUUUCCGUGCCGCCGUCACGCGCCCCGCCGGCUCGCGCCGCCGACGGCGCGGCUUCUGUGUCCGCCCUCGGCGCCCGGCCUGUGGUGUGCUCCCCGCGCUCCUCCCCUGUGAUUGCGCUGAGUGCGGCCGCAAUGGCGUCGUCUCCCGACUUGGCACUGGCCAGCAACAGCGGCGCCGCGCUGCCGCCAGACUCAUCGCCACCACCAGGGGCGUAUCGCGACCGCGGGGGGUGCUGCUGGUGGUCGAGGCUGGUGUCACUGGUGUAGCCCGUGUGGCGGCCGCUGCUGGCGGCGCUGCCGCCCAUCAAGCGGCCCUGGCUGGGAACUCCUAACGCGGUCGCGGCGAAGCGCGUCGUGCCGCCGCCAGCGCGCCCCGAGCCGCCCCCACCGCCCCAGUCGGGGCCGCUGCCGCCACCGUUGUCGCUGACGUGGCCCGAAGACAUGCCGCUGAGGGGCGAGGGAGAGCGCGAGCGGGGAGGGCGGUAGCGGGCCUGGCUGCCAGACGGAGCCACAAAGGAGUUGGACCGAGAGGGUGUGUUGCUGUCGCCGCCGCCAGUGGAGAUGCCGCCACCGCCCCCGGUCCGCGGGCUGUCACCAUUGAGCGAGGAGCCCGUGGAGGUCCUGCAGUAGAAGGUUAUCGCACACAGAUUGUAACAUUACCGACUGCUUCCAUGUAAAUUGUGUCCCUUCCCGCGGCCAAUGAGCGGAUAAUGGCAAGGGUAUGGUCAGGCCUGGUGCCGGCCCACCACCAGCGACCGCACCUCACCUGGCGAGCAGGGUGUCUAUGCUAACUGGCCCGUUGUUGGCCACGGCGGCGCCGCUGGGGCUGGAGCUCGAGCCCGCUGGCGCCAGUGACGUGCCGAAUGGGGACGAGGUUGCCGGUGCGGCUGCCGACGUCGCUAGCUUUGGCGCCACAAACGCUGCGGGUGGCGCGGCUGCGCCGCCAGAAGUGCGUUGCUGUAGCUGCCGUUGCAGUUCCUGCAGCUGCGCCUGGAUUGCAGAAAGCGAGGCGGUGUCUGCAAGCUGGAGGGGCGGCUGAGGCGGCAUGGCGGGCAGCGGGUGGCCCAUGGGACUGCCGCUGCCAGCAACCAUGCCCGCACCUACAACCACACCCGCAACCCCGCUCGCACCCGCACCCGUGGCCGCACCAGCGGCAGGGCUUGGCCCUGGGCUCUGCGACAUGGUGCCGCUUACUCCUCCGCCGAAACCACCCAGGCCACCGUUCAUUCCGCCGCCACCGCUGGCGAUGGGGCUGCCCAGGCUGCCAGGCCGCAAGCCCGCGCUCGGACGCGCGCCGCCGGGCGCCCCAGGUAUCCCCGAGCCCCUGCCGGCUGCGAUGGGCCGCACCAUGCUACCGAAGUUCUCCAGCCCCAGCUUCCGUGCUCCCGGCCGGGCCGCCAGCGCGCCGCCGCCGACUAUGCCAGCGGGCAAGCCCCCGCCCGCAGCCGCGGCCGCGCCACCGGCUCCAACCCCAGUGCCAGCAGCCGUGCCUGGGCUGCCCGUGAGUACGCCUGAGCUCUUGCCCAGCCGCGCGCCCGCACUGUUGGCGUUCACGGCCGGCAGCGGCAGACUGCUGCUGGCGGGGGAGGUGGUGAUGGUGGCGGCGGCGGUGACCGGCUUUGCCGGCACGCCCGCCCGGGCCAUCAUGGCUUGCAGUUGUGCCUGCUGAGCUUGUAACGCCUGCAGCGCCGCCAGCUGUGACUGCAAGGUGCUCGCUGCUGCGGCGGUCGGGGCUGCCGGGGCCGCCGCAGCGGCUGGUGCGGCUAAGGUGGCGGACGAGGAGAGGUCUGUGCUGGGCCGCCCCUUCUCCCCCACCUUCCUCCGUAGCACGGCAAGCUGGGUUAUACAGCGGGCAAAGCAGCGUGCCACAACUGUUUGACUCUUGAAAGAUAGUGCGGAUGCAAUGAUCUACAGAAGGGCUUUCCAUCCUAGUUGUCGGGGUUCACAUGCCAGACAUUCUGCUCCCACACAGCAGCCGCCAGCACCCAUCACCCAGCACCCACGCACCUGCGCCGCCAGCUCAGCCGCCGCGGCCGUGCCUCUGGGCGUGUUGCCUCCCGGCACAACCACAGACCCCGUCGGCACCGCGUCCGUUGGCAUCACGCCAGCUGACGUCAGCUGCAGCGGCGGCGGCCGGUGGUGGUGGUCCGAGCUCCCGGCAUCCGCCCCUGAAGCCGCGGCGCCGUCGGCCGCGGGCUGUAUCUCCGUGCCCCCGGCAGCCCGUGGCGAGCUGGCUGCGCUGCUCGCCGUCUUGGAAGCCUGCAGUGCCGCCAUCUGCGCCUGUAGUACCGCCAGCUGCUGCUGCUGCGGGGUCUGAGGGCUGGCAGUGACGCCGUUGGCCAUUGGAGAGUGCGCCGGUGGCGCCGGCGUCGGGGAUGCGGGCACUGAGAGCGAGGGCGCCGGGGACGCGGGCGCUGGGCUGCUGCCAGCUCCUGCUGUUGGCUGCUGCCGCUGCUGCUGGCGGGCGCGGCACUUGAGCACCAUGAGCGCCAGGUCCUCCUUGCGCAGCGGCUGGGAGGGCGUGGGGCCACCCUGGGGGGUUAGGGGGCGAGGAAGGAGGGAAGGGAGGCUGGUAAGACGCAGGUGGAGGCACGGGAGCGCAGGGCCGGAGGCGGACGGGGAGCCAUGAGGCAUGCACGGAUACAAGGUAGGCCCCAGCGCACAGGCGCGCCACAGGAACCGCGUAUGCAGCGGCACUGUGGGCGGGGGGGGGAGUGCCAUGCGGCCAUACCCCAGCACCAGGGCCCCUUGCCACGGCCCCGGACCCGCUGCGGUGUGGUAGACUGUGUGUCCUGGCGCCCCCGUGGCCUCUCACGCUCUCUCACGCCCCUCCCCACCAGGUAGUCAUCCGCCUGCAGCGCCCGCGCCACCGCCUCGUUGGCUUGAAGCACCACCACACUGCAGCCGCCGCCGCACGCCUGCCGGGCCUGCAUGGCGCCGCCGGGGGCGCUGAACAGCACAUCGGGCUGGAAGACGAUGAUGUCAGGGCCGCUGGGCCGACCCGCAGCCUGUGGAGCGUACAAUGUGUUUGAAGAGGUGGCGGGUGUGACAGCGUGUGAGGUUGAAGGGCCCUGUACGUUUGUUUGCAGCUCACGCCACUUUGUAUUGUCGCUAGUCGGUAGUACCCCAGCGGCGUACCACCACCGCGAAGUCGCCACGCACCUCGCCACGCACCGUCCUGAUCUGCUCUAUCACGGCGAACACGUCCGGCGCGCCCGCCAUAUGCAGGACCGAGGAUACCGGUGCCUGCGCCAGCGCCGACUGAAAGAUUGCGGCAAGGCUGGGCUCAUUGACCACAAGCAGGAUGUGUACCGGCUGAUGCGCGCCUGAGGCGAAAGGCAAGAGGUUGGUCAGCGAAAACGGUCAUGGUGGGAAUCGAAUGUGAUGCGGGUUGAGUUCGGGGGCCGGUUUCGGUGCACCACAUUGGCGUACCUGCCGUCGUCUGCAAUGAGCUCUUGACUGGCGUUGAAACACGGUCAAGUGCCGGUGCUGGCGUUGUGGGUGCGGCCUGCUGCGGAAUGCGGCUUUGCUGCUGAGCCGCGAGUUGCAUUUGCAGCGUCAGCAGCUGUUGCUGCAACUCCAAAGGGCUGCCUGGCUGCUGCAUGCUGCUGAGUGGCGGAGCGUUCUCCAGGGGCGGGUAGCUUGAGGACGCUUCACGGUACACAGGGCUGUUGGCGCCGCUGGAUGAUGCAGAGCCGUGUUGAAAGUGCUUCAAGAAGCCACGCAUCGUAAGCGACGACUAAGUCUGAGGCGUUGCGGUCGAGGGGAAAACAUUCUGUGGAGGGUCGCUCUUGUGUACCUUAGGCAGAACUACUUUACAUGGAUGAUUUUGGAAACACGUGUAGCUUAUAGCGCAAGAUUUGGCAAACGCGGUGCUCUUGAGGAACUCGUUUGCUACAAGCUUCGUGCCCCUAUUCCGCAUGUGUACCAAGUAGAAGUCCUGGCUCCGUAGUGUGGAAGAUGUCCAGCUUUCUAAAAGUCAACGGCGGGUACAAUGCUCAAGGACAAAGAUGGGGAAAGACCCAAUCGGCCCCCGACAUUUUCUUUCUCCAACAGCCUUGUUACAAGCCCCGUGCAUCAACACAAAAGCAAACAAGCUAUUUACUGCCAAGGGAGCCUGCGCCUCAAGAAACGAUUGCGCGAGGCUGAGUCCGGGAAGCAGGCCUAAGUGAACAAACAAAUACGCUACUGUAUGGGGGCCUGAAUACCACGCACUUGUUGCUGCGGGCCACGAUUUUUCGCUCGGGGCUGAGGUUGGCGCCAACUGGAAGGCGGAAGUUUGCUGCAGACGGGAGCACACGCCACCCUUCGUAUACGGCAACUCCCGUGGGUGCGCGCUUCGGCCAGGGCACCUGGCAUAACUCACACCAUGUAUAUAGUGCUCGCUGGGCUGCUAGCUGUCGCUGUCAGCGUGGCAAGCGCGCAAAAUGAUGCAGCUGGCUGCGCCGAGACCAUGAAGGGCUCAUGCGGGUAAGACUAGUGUUCCCCGGUCACGGAAAAGGGGCUGCGGGUAAGAAAAGCUAUGUGGCUUUGUGCAGUUGCUACUGAACUCCCACGUCCAUGACAGAAAAAAAGUUGCCUGUUGCGUCACAAAACUGCAGGGCGUGCGGUAUUUGCUGCUGCUACAAGGGGCCCCUCAGAUACAUACCUGACGAGGACUCGUGCACCUGCAAGAUUGAAUACGGCGCUUCAUUUAUCGUAAUGAUCGUUUGCGUGAGUUGGGUUGGGUUGGGUAAGCAGCAGGAGUGAGGUGAUAGUGAGGGGGCCAGUGCGGUACUGACUGCAAUGGCCCUAAAGCCGAUGCGCCCCGAAUCUUCAACGACACCCAGCUACCCCGGUGCGGUUCCGGAAUUCGGACCCCAGCGCAAGCUGCAGUACCUGGUAACAGAAAGGCACACAGGCAGUGGCACGGUUGGACCGGCUCAAGCGAGCGGGGCGGCACCGACGCUGUAUGCACGCUGCAUUUGGGUGCUGGCUUGACACCAACACGCCCACAACCCGCUGUGUGUACAUCCCUGCCCCUCAGGCGGUCCUGGUGUGCAUCUGCUCCCUGGUUGGAGGCAGCUACUUUGGAGGUAAGCCAGUUGCUGCCACUCCAGGCUGAGUCGGGGCAUACGGGGGUUUGCUUGGUGCUUGUCAUCGCGGGUCAGGCGGGUGCAAGUCGUGCUGGUAGCGCCCAGCACCGCGCCGCGCUGAUGAGAGAUCCAGCCGACCCACCAUCACGCUGCGUGGCUGCAGGGAGUCACAAGCUCUCGCCGUACCCGCGAUCGGAGAUGUACAGUGUAGGCAGCGGCCGGUAGUUGACAAGCAGCAGUGAUGCAUCUACGGAGCCGGCAGGCGUUGGUCACAGCCGCCAUUGAACAUCGGGGGGUCAAUCACCACCAUCCCGGCCGUUAGGGACCCCAGAUUAGCAGGCAUGCGACGCAUCAACAGUGCAAGCAUUGAGUACGACGCAUGAUUUGGGCGCCAAAGUACUGACUGGAGCGAUAGGGUAAAGCGUAGUCGUCAUGUUAUCCCUGCGUGCUCUUCGCGGGAAACUUGUGCCUUGUUUUAUUUUAAUGCCUAAGUGGCCGCGUGCUGCCAGCGCGGAUUUGCCCGUGUGCUCUUUGGCCCUGGGCGUGUACGCAACCGUCAUCAUUGUACAACGGAUGGUUGUGUAUGUCCCGCACCUCGUUAGCGCGAACGUGCGUGUCGGGAAGUCAGCUUGUUGAGCUGUGCGGCUGUGAUUACUGAGUUGGUUGGCCCUCGUGCAGGUGACAGCGGUGAGUGAGGACGCAUGCAGGGGUGCACAUUUAGUUGUACAGUACAUCCGUCCUGCGUAGACUGCGCUAGGUUUUAGUGGCCUGCUGUACCAGAUUACCAUAUUCCUGAAGCUGUGUCACGGCAGCGCUCAUUGCGACCCAUUUGCGGACAUAAGUAGAGAGGGGUUUGUGAAUGUACAAGUCAAUGAAUGAAGCAGGGUCUGGCCAGGAGCAAGGGCCACAUGCGUUCCUUGAGGCACGGGCUGCGCGGCCAGUCACAUCAGCGCUGUGGUGCUGAUGCAGUGAUGCUGCAAACAUUACAAGACGGAUUGCAAGAUGGAUAGUCCGGCAAUUGACAUGCAUGCGUGGCCACGAAGCGGUGCUGGAAGACGUUGCUAGAUAGGGGAUGCGGCAAGCCAGUGCAAGAAGUGCAAGAAGCGCGGACGCCUGGAGGAACGGAGCGCGGCUUGUGACCGGUCCUGUAAUUGCGGGCACAGUGCGGGACCUCAUGCACAGUCAUGGGUGGCCCGUGGCCGUCUUUAUUGCCGCGAUAGCAUCCAAGUGCAAGUCAGUGAAGCCAGGGGCCAACUAGUCAUAGGCCUGCUGGAUGCAAUAGCUGGGAUAACAGAGUUGUGACGCAGUGGUGGUGAUUACACCACAUGCAGGUGCGGUGCAGAACCACGAGCAAUUUCGAUGCCCGAAGCGAACUGCGCUGUCUCGCUAUGGACUCUGCACGGCGCUGCCCCGCUGUGGACUCCGCAGUGCAUGAGUAGUCGGGACGGCUUGUCAACGGGGACACGCGGGGGAAUGAGGAUUGAAGGUGGCCGAUCCCGAAGAAUUCAUGCUUGAAACCUCACACAUUGUAUGGCUCUAUAGGGCCAUUCAGAUAAAGCGUGUUCACUAAGCCGCAGCCAGAAGGCAUCCAUCAGUUGAAAUACCGGAAAGCCCUGACGCAGCACCAGCUGCUGCCACAUAAGAAUUAAUAUGUCUUCCAGUAGAGGACUGCAAGCAGCUAUGCGCUGCGCUGGGCUGCUGCGUUCAGGCGCAGCGCGCUCAGGCGGCUUGGUCGCGUGCGAAAGCUUUGCGCGGGGCGCUGUGCGCAUCACGGGUAAGGUCGCGCUAUCGUCUGUGCCCGUAACGAAGUCAAGAUCACCCUGUUGGGGUCGGGUUUCGGGCGUGAUGAAGAUUGUAUCUUUCGCGCAACAUCACGGACAACCCGCACUGGCAGGCUUAUUAUUCUUUUGCUGUAAUCCAGGUGUCUGCAAUCCAGCGGCGAUGUGGGCGGCCAAGGCGGCGCAGGCACAGCAGCGUGUGCACUCAAUGGCUCAGCCAAUGUAUGGUUUCGCCGCGCAGGGCGCGCUGGCUACCGUAGACACGGGCGAUGAAUCUGGCGUGGUGAGUUGGGAAAGAGGUUAGAUGUGCGCAUGCAUAUGCACAGCGCUUAGUACUGGCGCGCGUGCAGCUGUCGACCUAAGAGCUGCCAGGGUUUUGCGCGCCACACCGUGCCACACCACGCCACGUCAAGUGCGACACCACGCCACGUUAAGUGUUCAUGUAUAUCACCCUUAGACGCAUGAAUUCGAACGUGCCACUUGUAAUUGCGCUAUCGUCUUGUUGCACUGCUUGCAGAGCACUGGCACGGGCAGCAGCAGCGGCACGCUGGCUUCCUCUUCAGGAGAGGACAGCGAGUGUGUACCAAGCAACGACGACGCAGGUGUUUUAUCGCGCCGUCCAUCAGUGCGGCAGCCCGACCCGCCAUGGCUACCGAAUCAACAAGAGCAACAACAGCAGACUCAUCACGGACACCUCAGCAGCGUACGCAGCAGGCUGGGCGCUAGCAGCUGCACGGGAGUGCUGCGGCCGGGUGCCCCGCUGCCACCGUACCAGUGCCGGACGUUCGCUGCAGGCGCCACAGCGACUUCGACGGCAACGGCUGCAGCUGCAGCUGCAGUAGACGCAGGCGCAGCGUCCAUGGGAGUCCACCCCAGCCGGCCUGGUCACGGAGUGCCCUCGCCGCACCGCCACCCAAGCGACGCGGCUGCGGCCGCUGAGCCUCCGGCCGCGCGGCUGAGUGCGGCGGAGUACCGCGAGCGGCACGGCAUCCGGGUGCGCGCGACGGAGGCGGAGGGCGAGGACGGCGGCGAUGGCGAGGACGCGAGGUCGGUCUUGGAGCCAUACCAGUCCUUCGAAGAUGCGGCAUUUCCGGAGGGUGUGAUGCAAGUGGUGAGCGGCGGGGCCGGGAGAGGGGGACUGGGAGGUGGCGAUGGAUGGGGAGGUAGCAAGGGGGGGGGUGGCAGUGCUGUCAAAGCCAGAGCCCGAGUGGGGCACAAUGCGCCAUAUCCCGGCCGCCAUCGCCGCCUGCCCUGCCUCCCUGCUCGCAGCUGCGCUCCUCGCGCUACGGCGCGCCCAGUGCCAUCCAGGCUCAGGCGUGGCCCAUCGCUCUGGCGGGCCGGGAUGUGGUGGCCAUCGCCAGCACCGGCAGCGGCAAGACGCUGGGGUACCUGCUGCCGGCGCUGGUGCAGAUCCAGGUGGGAAUAUGCAGCCGAAGGCAACAGCAAUGCCCGAUCAUCAUCUGGAAAACCCAGAAGGGGGGGGGUUACUGGCGUGUUUUGCUUUCUUCGCGGUGACGCUGGAGGCGUGUUGACUGGCAAGCACGGGGUACCCAGGACUGGCGCCGUGUGUGGGUUGUGGGGCGCUUUACCCACACGCCCGCCCCACGUCCUGCAGGCUCGCGGCGGUGACCCGGCCCUGGGGCCCAGUGCUCUGGUACUGGCGCCCACACGUGAGCUGGCCAAGCAGGUGGGUGGCGCCGACCGCAGCGUGGCGCUACGUCCUGUGCAGGCGUGCAGCCACCGCAGCAGAGGCACUCAAGGCAAUGCCUAGAGGCUUUCACACUGCCCACACAAUCUGACCAAACGCAACGCAAGCGCGUCAAAUAGCAACUUCGCCGCGCACCCACCCAACCCCGCCUGCCACGAAACCUGUAUAGUUUCCCGUGUUCUCCACCCCUUCUCUUUGCUCGCUCCAACCUCCCGUCCCCGCGGCCCACCAGAUCCAAGAUGAGGCCCACCGCUUCGCACGCGCUGUGGUCAUGCCCGACUCCGCCAGCAGCGCGCAGCCGCGCCAGCGCCAGCGCAACGCCCGCAGCCACAAGCACCAGCCGCAGCCGGCCGCCCCGGGCAGCCUGCGCUCGGUGUGUCUGUACGGCGGCGCAUCGCGGGAGGAGCAGCUGGCGGCGCUGCGCACGCGGCCGCACCUGGUGAUCGCCACGCCGGGUCGGCUGCUGGACUUUGUGGAGGCCGGCAUGAUCCGGCUGGGGCAGGUGAGCGGCUAGCGCGGCUGGGGAGGCUGGGGGUGCUGAGGAGGGGACGGGCCGGAUGAGGGCAGACAUCAGGGAUUGAAGCCGUCAAGAGUGCUUGGUGGUAUGGCAGGGCAGGGAGGUUUACGAUGGAGUGUGGCGAGGAAGGAGGGCACGCGGCGGGCAGGUGCGCUGGUUCUGAGUGCCUAGGGCUGCCGUGGCAUACGCCAGACACCCGAAUCGGCCGAAGGGAUAGUUAUAACUUCGUGGCAGCACAUUUAGUUGGAACACAGUAACGACACCCAUAGGCUCCGGGCCUGGGGCUUGGAGGCUGACACAGACACCAUCACGUAACGCAACCCGCUGCGCCACGCUGCACCCCGCUGCGCCCAGGUGUCGUACCUGGUCCUGGACGAGGCGGACCGCAUGCUGGACAUGGGCUUCGAGCCGCAGAUCCGGGACGUGGUGCGCGCGCUGCCGCCCGGCCGCCAGACGCUGUUCUUCUCCGCCACCUGGCCGGCCGAGGUGCGCGCCGCGGCCGCCAGCUUCGCGGCCUCGCAGCGGCCGGUGCAGGUGUUCAUCGGCGACGUGCAGGUGGGCGGGGUGGAGGCCGAGGGGGGGAGGAGGGGGGGGGGUUACAUUCAUGAUUAGUUAAGGAAGGGGGGGAGACGGAGGGGGGGGGAGGAGGGACGGGCGCUUGGGUGCCCGGGAUGCCUUUGGAGACCGCUCUCGCCCGUGGUUUAUCCUGUAGAGCUAGCUGGGACAGCAUGGUCGGAUGGGUUCCAAACACAGCGCCGCCCAGCCGACUGCGCUCGCCUGUCCACCGCGCGCGCGCGCGCACACACACAUACACUGUCUUUGCGCUUGGUUUUCCUUGUGCUCUUUAACACACAUACACACACAUGCGCGUGUACACACAGGCCAAGCCGGUGGCCGCAACCUCCAUCCGGCAGCGGGUGGCGGUGGUGGAGGCAGCGGACAAGGUGGCCACGCUGGAGGCCUACCUGCGGGAGCAGCUGCUGGGGGAGGGGCCGGAGGCGGGCGCCGACGCGGACGCUGACGCGGAGGACGCGCCGCCGCCGGCCAAGCGGCGGGCGCUGGCGGUGGCAGGGGCCGCGGGCGGGGCCGGCGGCGCGGCGCCGCGGCGGCGCGCGAUCGUGUUCUGCAAGACCAAGUCCGGCUGCGACCACCUGGCCUACCAGAUCAACAGGUGGGCGGAGGAGAGGGCGCGUGUCGUGCCGUGGGAGGCCCCGCUGUACAUGCGGCGUGACCCGGGGCAUUCUUAUAGAAGGACUGCGUCCGAUCUGUGCAAUGACCCGGUAUAAUCAUCCGCACUCCUUUUCGUCUGGCUGGCGCGCUGCAGCACCAUGCCCUUCCAGGCCGCCAGCCUGCACGGCGACAAAACCCAGGCCGCACGUGACUACGCACUGCACAACUUCCGCAACGGCCGCGUUCCGGUGAGCGGGCACGGGUGUGCGUCAGUCAUGGUAGGGGCGUCUGUGCGAGUGCGCGGCUGCGCGGCACCUGGACCAGUAGAUCUUCAGAGCGGGCCCGUGGAUUUGCGGUUGGGGCUCACUCCUGUAACUUUUAUAAAACUUGCACAUGCUGGUCGGCUUCCGCCCGCGUGCAGGUCCUGGUGGCCACCGACGUGGCGGCUCGGGGUCUGGACAUCCCGCACGUGACCGCGGUCGCCAACUUUGACAUGCCCAACGACAUCGACAGCUACGUGCACAGGUGCGACCAGCCGGCUGUGGAAUGAAGACAGAUGCAGACGGUUGUGUUGCUUGUGCCGAGACUCUUGUCGCUAUCAUGUCUUGAAUUGGUGCGCCCCCUGAGAGCGCGCCGCCCGGCGCACUUUUACGGACCCCUAUCACCACUGGCCUGCUGCUUCUUCCACUGCCCUUUGCACCCUAACAAUCGCGCGCCUCACCUUCGCCCCCACCCCUCACGCUGCACGUGCGCAGGAUCGGCCGCACCGGCCGCGCCGGUGCCGCCGGUGAGUCUCUUGCCAUCCUGACGCACCGCGACGGCUUUAUUGCGAGGCCGCUGGUGGGCGUGCUGGAGGGCGCGGGGCAGCCUGUGCCGCCCGAGCUGCAGCGGAUGGCGCGUGGCAGCAAGGGCGGAGGCGGAGGCGGAGGGCGCGGAUGGGGCCAUGGAGGCCGCGGGGGCCACGGGGGCCACGGGGGCUUUGGCAACCGAAGCUGGGGCUCACGCGACCGGGGCGGGGGCGGCGGCUACGGGCAGCGGCACGGUGGAGGGGGCGGCGGCGGUGGUGGCGGAUACGGGCGCGGCGGCGACGACGGUGGAGACGGCGAUGGAGGUGGGGAGUGGCAGCAGCACGAGCGCCGCCGCCACCGCCACCACGCCGAUGACUGGCGGUCGGGAUCUGCGGCCGGCCGUGGCGACAGGUACUAGCCAGCACUGUGCUUGCGUAGAUGCACGGCAUUUUGCAGUGAAGAGUGAUAGCAGUGAGAGUGUGGAUAGCAGUGAGUGGUGCAAUUCUCUUUUGCCGCUUCCAGGCUGAAACAUACAUGCGCCAGUGUAUGGCCGAUUCAGGAGGCAGAAGUGGGUUGCAUAGAGUAAGAAGCAAGAGGUUGUGAGUGCUGAGGGAUGUGAGGACACGGACACGGGUUUUGAAAGCACAGGGCAAGCUCAAAUGCGUGUAGUGCUCAAAAGGAGUUGCAACUUGCAAGGAGCUCGGCACCCCUUCUCCGCCUGUUCGCCACGCCGGGCCACGGGAGGGGCGGUUCAGGCGAGGGGCCGGUUCGUGUCAUGCAAGUGCUGAGUGUCUAUUACCCAUCCUGUAACACCGGCAGGAUUCUCCGGCAGGCAUGGAGUUACCGGCGAGUGGGCAUUUCCUGUCCCGCUGGGUCACACACGGUGUGCGCGCGACCCUCAGCUCCCUUCCUGUCCAAGCGUAUUUUCAUGACCUUUAUACAGCAUAGAAACACCCUAGAAUGUCAAAUAUACUUGAAGAGUACCAAGCCCUUAAGCAGUCGCUAGACGGCGACCUUGGCAAAAUAGAGCGCAUGGUGGGUUAGAUGCGCCGUUUGCUGCUCUAGUAAAAUUUUACUAGCUAGCGCCAGGUCGACUUUGAAGUCGCUGACUUUCUUUCGACCAUGUCCAGAUUGCCGAGUCGGAGCACACCUAUCUAACAGCAGAGUACAGCCAAUGCGGAACUGCUCUAAAGGUAUGCGGGCGAAGGGUUUGGGUGCUGGUUCUCCAAGAUGCAGAAACUUCCCGCCGCUUCCGCGCUUGCAGGGCUUUGAGGGUUACCUCAACUCUAAAGACAUUCUCAGAAAGAAGACGCGCACAUUUAAACCGGAGGACCGGUUAUUCAGUCUCUCGUCAAAGUCCUCCCCGCCGGUGCGUGCCCGAGGGGUUUGCCCUCGGUGUGCCCUCGCUGUGCCCUCGCCGCUAUGCGGCGACAAAGCGUCGUGGACCCGUGCGGCGCGUCCUUUAUGCACAGUGACAGGGAGGUUGGACGUUAGUUUGGUGGCGCUGGGUGGGUGGAGGCGGCUCUACAGGAAGUGAGGGGGCGGUCACGCCUCACGCCAACGGGCCCCUGCGUCCAGCACUCCUGCGUCAUGCUGCCAACCCCGAUAAACACAUACCUAACCUCCCACGCCCCGUCUCAAUCUGUCUAACUGCUUCACUGGCCUUGCGUGCUGCGCAGAGCCGAGAAAUGGAGCAGCCGGCGCUUGAGGCCGUGGACAGCAUGACGCCGCUCAUCUUCGGAAGCAAGAAGGUGGGUGGGUGCGCUGGCAAGUGCAGAGCCUUGCGUGCGCAGAUGACAUAGUGAACUAGCGGAGGCUCGACAGAGGCAUGCUAGCGGUCGACUUGCAGUGGAGCAUUCCAGUGUUUGGGGCUUGAAGCAAGGAACGGCCAUGUUGGAUGUCUAGCCCACCCCUUCACCCAGCCGUGCGCCGUCUGUUCCCGCGUACCUCGUUUCGCCUACACGCACACCUGCACCUGCCCUCCCCCCAUCUCCACCCUGUGCCUGGCAGGCCGCCUACGCGCAAAAGGGCUACGCACAGAAGGGCAAGCGCUGAGGGUCAAGUUCAUGGGCGUAUCAAGCGCUGAGCCGUCCAUGGGUUUGCAGGGGCGCUGUGCGGCGCCGUGCAGUGUGUGGAUGCUGUGGACGCGAGACGACACGAGUGACGACGUGACUUGACUGGUGUAUUCUUACUGACGAUAGAAGCAGGCAGCUGCAGGCGCCACUGCGUUGCGGCCUGGUUUUGACACUUGACUUAGCUUCACUGUGGUGUGUAUGGACAUGGCACAUGAAGGUGACAAUCUGUAUUUGCUGAAGCGAAGGGGAGGGGAAAACGGGCAGGUGGCGGCUCUGUGAUGGCUUACGGUCUCGUGUCAUGAUGUCUCCAUAUGGGCGCUUCAAUGAGCAAGCGCCCAUCAAGGUAUGGGGCAGAUUCAAUCUUAUGGGUAUGAGUGGCGUUCCCACCACGUCUGACACGUAUGCUCAAAUGCAGUGCAGCGCUGGUGCAGUGCGUGCUACAGAGUAGACGGGAGGUACCAAGGGUAGAUAGACGGACUGUACAGAUGCAGUUAGAGGCGCAGACGCUCGGCGAUGUCAAGGACCUUAUGUCUGCGGCCUAAGCGCACGGGAUGCAACCUCACCAAGGAGGCACUGAUUCCACCCUGUCUGGCAGAGGCGGCCGCCCUCGCAGCGUACCGUCAGCCCAAGGCCUCGUGCCGGCAUGCUGGGGGGCUGCCUUGGGUUCCACCAGCGCCUUCUGCCUUCAUUGCAGCACAGCAGCCAGGAUUCCGGGAGCAGCGUAGGCUUCCACACCUCGUGUUGCGCACUAAGGCCAGUGGGGCGUGGCCGCGCGGCGCCAAGCUGCAAAGCCCCAAACCCCGCACACCAAGGUCAAAGGGACCAGAGACAGCUGCUCGCAGCACCCUCGCCAGAAUGGCUUACAGCUCCUGCUCGACGCCAUAACUUCAGUUACUGGUCUCAAAUUGAGCCCACCGCUCACAAGCAUAAAUGCAGCACGCAUACAGCACGCCGCACAUCAAGCGCACGGUCAAUUAGGAGGACAUGACCAAACGCGCAAGAACCUGCUGAAGCGGUGUGAUCCACGCCCAUCAACCCGCAUGCUGCCAGCCUACGGUACCUCUCGCCUCGUAUACCAACAGCAGCUGUGCCCCCGUCCAACAUCGCCGCUACCUGGUAGUAGCUCCGUGCACCUGCAAGCGCCCACCCCACCCCUCCACGCCUCAGUCUUAGUCACAGCCGCGCCGCGCCGGGCCCCUCCUCUCCCGCGCCCUACCACACCCCCAACCCCCAACCCCUGCCCGCCUACGCCUUCUUCGCGGGCGUCUUGGCCGGCGAGCUCUCUAGCGACGGCGGUUCCCGCGCCGCGCCCUCGUCGCCCGCCUCCUCGCUGUCCUCCUCCUCCUCCUCCCCCGCGCCGCUGCCUCCUCCGCCGCCUCCGCCCAGCUCCGCAUCCAGCUGGUUGAUGUAGUCGUCCAGGUCCUCCAGGUCGUCCACGGCGCUGCCCUCCUCGCCCUCGCCGCCCUCGCCCACGUCCAGCGCCUCCUGGGGGUGGUUUGGGUUGGGGGAGGAUGAGGUGGGGAUUGGGUGAGGAGUGGGUGGUGGUGGGUGGUGGGCAGGGGCCAAGGGGGUACUGGACCCUGUUCCACAGAAGCCGGGGCAGUUGGGAUUGGGCGAGGCGACAGUAUCCAGCGAUGGAAGCAGCGUCAGCUUAGGUGGGUUUUAUGGCACGGGCGCGCGGGAAACAGCCGUAAAAGGUGGUGCCGCGCGAUACUGCACCGGUGUCGGCGCCCGCUUCCCCCCGCCUCGUGACCCGUUCCUUACUUCCCCCCACCUGCAGGUACGCGGCCAGCUCGGGGUCAUCCUCCAAGUUGUCUAGAUCAACAUCAUCGUCGUCCACGUCGCCGUCAUCAUCGUCGGCGUCAUCGUCGUUGUCUCCGUCAUCAGGGCCAGAUGACGUCACCGCAUCCAACAGCUCCGCUUCAUCGCCAGAUAGCGGCGAGCGAGCGGGCGUGCCGGACGAGGCUGCAGCGCCUGCGGCGGCGCCAGCGGUGCUGCCUUGCCCCGUGGGCGCGGGUGACGCGCCUGCAGCUGCCGCUGUCCCACCAGAGGUCGAGGCGGCGGCGGGGGUUGUGGUUGCGGAGGCGCUGGUUGCGAGGCGCUUGAUACUGCUGGCGGCUGAAGCGGGCCCGGCAGACUGCGAUAGCGGGCGGAAAGCAGAGAGGAGCAGGCCAUACAUAGCAGCCAUUUCAGGAGGGGCAGGAGGGGCAGCAGAAGGGGCCGGGCAUGCACGGCUAAGCCGCCACACAGCACUACUGAGGGCAGGGGCAAAAUUUGGUAAAACCGCUGAGACCAUUGCAGCCUUGGACAAUACGCACCGGCGCAUCCGCCCCGCUGUUGCUAAGCGCCGCGCCUGCGGAGCUGCCACCGCCGCCUGACGCCCCAGCCGCCGCUGCCGGCGCCGUUAUGGAGGGCUUUUCAAAGGCCUCCGGCGGCAGCAGCGUCUUCACCAGCGUGAAGUAAAUGACCCAGAACAACUCCUCACCCAUGCGCCUGUGGAGGCGGCACCGUACAAAGCAUCAGGCUGAGACCAUCAGCGCGUGCGAAGAUUUCGAUGAAAAGUGCGAGAGGCAUCCCCGCUACCUUCCGACAACAGCUGCAAUGCCCCUCUAACAAGCCUCAUCCAUCAGCUCGAGCACCAUUGUUUGAAGCUCACUUUGGGCACAGCGCGAACCGCAGCCCCUGCAGCUGGUCGCCCUUGGUCAGCACCAGCAGCGCGUGCCGCUCCUGCCAGGGCGUCAGCUUGAAGCCCGGCCCGGGUAUGGGUGGGCUCAGGCCCAGCGGGUUGGUGGAGGGCAGUGAGUCCAGUGGGUAGUCACUGAACGUGUGUGUGUAGGGUGGCGGGGGGGGGGAGGGCACGGGAGGAGGGGUUUGCGGGCGUGGGUACUAGGUAGGCGACGGCGGUGGGAGAUGGGGGAAAACGUGGCGCAGUGCGGAAGGGGGGUGGCGGGGGUCGAGAUGCGACGGCGCAGGGCCCUGGACAGGAGCCCUUACGAGGGGCGCGUGGCAGAGGGGACUGGGUGCAGCUGGGGCACGGAGCAGGGCAGCAGGGCAGUAGCAAUACAUAUCAUGUCACAGCAGUGGCCUCGGCUCGGGCCAUGCCACCAUAAACACCAACCCGGCACAGCAAGCACGCAUACGCACCCACCCGAGCGCACAUCAUUUGCCUACUCUUGCGAAGCUGUGCCGCGCAGCCGUGUCGCCUCACCUGAACGUGCUGUAGGUCAUGCCCGACACCGUCUCCAGCAGCCCCGGCGUCACGCCGUACUUAAGCAGCUCUGCCGGGUCCACGUCGGUCCCCGAGCCCGAGCCUGAUCCCCCGCCAGUGCCGCCCUGGUACAAGCACAGCAAGCGUCAGCGUCAGCGGUGUAAGGGUUCGCAAGGUUCCGCAAGGGUGCACGGCCGCAUGAACGGGGGAGCCACGUGCCAGCGUGUCUGCUGCUCCCCGGCAGACCCAGAUCAAAUAAGGACUUAAGGUGGCCGCAAUAAUGCUGCACGUGAGGGGAUGUGGUAGGGCAGCAGCAGGGCCGCACAGCACAGCACUGGAGCGCCGACGCCCCCGUCCGUUCCGGCCCCCGCCUUGCCCACACUCCCGGAGACAGCUCACCGUCGCUGCGGUCGCUGCUGCCAGCUGUUGAAACCUCGCCUGGGCCUCAUCUGCUGCAGCGCUUGCUAGCUCCUGCAUGAACACCCAGGGAGGUGUGAGCUUGCAAAUUGUGCAGCUGUUGCUCGCUGAACGUGCCUUCGCUUUCUUUUCCGCCUGCUCCGCGUAGAUUUUCGCCUGGGCCUGAGCUUGUACAGCGAGAACUUUCGCUUUCUCCGCUGCUUCCUGCGCCUGUUUCUGCGCUGCCGCGAAACCGGUCUGCAAACUCGAUUUCAGCCAGUCCAGCCCACUCAUGUUGGCUACUAAGUAGCGUGUUCAGUAGUGCACAGAGUCGUUGAGAUGCGUCAAGUUAUCGACUUUACUUCUCGCGUUUGCACUAUUCGCAAGGGUUGUUUGCUAGUGUCAAGCGCCAGCAGCGUAACACGCCGUAAUACCUGGCUUUAAGUACAAAUGGGUUCUCGACGACUGUUUCACUCCUGUAGGGCGCUAUUAGGCGCAUGAUGAGGGGAUGGCGCCAAGCCGUGUGCAGGCGUGUGUCAGGUGUCAUCCAACGCGCCGUGGAGACAUGCCUGCGGGUGAGGCGCGGUGGGGUAGGGUGGAGGGAGCGAAGCGUGUGUAAGGUGUAGGUUGGGGGAGCCGCUCGUGGGAGCCGCUGCUGACCCUGGAGUCGAGCGCAAUCCUCAUGACCGCCGCCUCCGCCGGCUAGGGUAAGGGCACGCCAUCCUACCACGGCCGCGCCGGCGACGGCGGCGGGCAGCUCAGCGGCAAUCAACGUCAGAGGUAUCAGAGCACUGCGCAAGGUGCGGCACGCAGGAGAAGGGCAGCCGCUGGCGUUGGGAGUCAGGGCGCGUGUGGCUGUGCCAGGCGUGCUACGGCGGCAUGUACGGCAGCGUGUACAGCAAGCCGCGCGCCUUCACCGCCGCGCGCCUUCACCGCCGCUUCAACCACCGGACGAAGCAUGCAUGCAUGUGUCGAGGGAAACAUGUGCGAACGUGAGAUGCACCGUCUGCAAGCAUAAGACCAGCAUCUCCAUCAAGAAGUGGCGCCUGAAGGAGGUCAUUGACCUGUGCGACAGUGACUGAGGGUGGGCAGGUGUAGAGGUUAGGGUUGAUUGCUGUAGAGUUGGGGGUUAGUUGAUGUACUGCUGCGCCAGUGAAACUGAUGGUGAGCAGGAGGAACAAGAGCGCAGGAGAAGGUUCAGGAUCAGGAGCAGCGCAAUGAGCGCAUUGCUCUCGGCUUCCUCGCGCCGUGCAUGCGGCGGUGGCUGCGCGGGGUAGCGCCCCGCGUGUGGGGCCGAACCGCCGAAGGGAGGGGAUUGAGGGCCUGAGGGGGCCCGAGUGAUGGGCCCAUGGCUCAGGGCGCACAGGAAUGUCGGUCGUCCACGGGCAGUGCUUUCGCCUGGCUGCCGGCUAUGCCUUACCGCAGCUCUCCUAUCCGAGUAAUUGGUCAAAUGUGAAGGUGUGGGCUGAAGCAUGGCGUCCAUUACAGACUGCUACACCAGGGCAGGUGCACGGGUCUACCGCACGCAGAUGGCCAUCUGUCAAUCCCAACAGCCAAUCCCCGGCCCAUACCGUACGCGCGGGGGCGUUUGGCUUUUGACUGGCUGUCCAUUGGCAGGCAUGUAUCUGAAAGUGGUUGUGGCGUUGUGCAGGGCAUUAUACAAUUUCACAGACCACAGUGCCAGUGUCUGCAGCUGGGGCUGGUGGUGGCGGCGGCCACACAGGGUGGUGUGCGUGCGGGCCGGAAGAUUUGGGCGCCGGGCGUGAGCCUGGGUGGGUGGAUCGUCGUGCACUGCAACGCAACUGGUGGGCAGCAGCGUAAGUCGAAACUCCAUGCAGCGGCCUGAAGGAGUCCAUCAGGUCACGGUGGUGGCUGCCAUGGAGUUCGUGAGCAAAUAUGUGCAACGGGUAACGCGGGGCAGAUGAGGGGAGAACUCGAUUGGGUGCACUGUGUCGACGGUAUAGCAGACGAACUGACCGCUGUGGAACUGUAUGUUCAAAGACAUACAUACAUUGAUUUAGCACACCGCUCCACUAGUCGAGCCAAAAUGCGCCGAUAGGAAAUUUCUCCACUGCCCACUGCGUUCCUGCAACCGGAAGCGCCGAUCAUCAACAAUGACCGUGCGGUCAAUAGUAGUAUCCUUAAUCAGGGGCGCGAACAAAGCCUCGCGCCAGCAUCAAGGCGACAUUGGCCGCGAAGCCGUGGUGGACCUUAUCCAGCAAUCGGCGGCGAAGCAGUCGGGCAUCCGCAAAGGCUGGCAGGUGAAGGCGGCAACCUGGGUGAAGCGUGUGCAUGUGGAUCGCGGUGACGUCAAGGUUGGCCGGCUGGAGGGCGGCGAGUUCCAGGUGCUGCCCCACCUUCGGCCCCG